GCCCUCGCACCGGAGCUUGGCUCAGUGGGUUUCUGGCUCCGUGUGACGAGGAGGCCUGACCCCGUGAUUCAUAGAAGGAGGCUGGCUGCCAGCGUUUCAGAAGCCGGUGGGUGUUUUUGGAGGUACACAUAUGUUCAGCUCGCCUGCUGCCAGCUUCGUCGGCUCAGCUAUUUGGUGCAUCCUCUCACAUGUUUGGGGACAUAACAAAAAAACUAGGGCAAAAUUCUGCAAAAUAAUAUCUUGAAAAGAUGACAGGUUCCUGAAAAGGAAUGUGUAGCUGGGACCCUGGGCAUGUGUGAAGCCUGACGGGGAGCUCUGCAAGAAGGGGCAUUACCCACGUGCACAGUUUGAGAACAGCCAAGGCACAGGAGCCUUUCUCCAGUUCCAGGUUUUCUACGUAUUCCUAAGAUGUCCUGCACUGUCUGCAUCACAGUCCACAUCCUGUGUAGGCAUAUGGAGCUACGGGAAAUAUUCUGCCUUAUUUUGUCUGAUCUCUUUGGAGAGAAGUAAGAUUCAGGGACCCUCUUCUGUCUUGUGACUACUUGAAAGCAAAGCAGAAUAUGAAUUUUGCACUCCCUGGGGUGGUGACCAGACAGCAUCGCUCCUUGGCAUCUCUAGGAAUGCAGGCUUCAGAGUUUGGGAAAGAGGAGCUGAAAAUCAAGCUUUUUUUGGCCAAACCUCCUGUGCUGACAUCAGCAGGGCUCAAACAUUUAGUUUUCUCACCUGUGGAGCCAUGGGUAGAGUUAAGGUUGGGAUAGGUCUGGAGUUUAGAACAAGGGUUUCCAAGUUCAGCCUGGGUGUGUGAGAGAAGCCCGCCUGUUGUGAGUGUGGACAGGAACCUUCCCCUGGCCGAGGUCUGCAGACCAUUAAAAACCUGCUAUUUCAAUUCUACCCAAACUGCAAGCGCCACACCUGACCCUGACCUUACGCUAGACAGCCUGGUGGAUGACUGCAUUAGCAUCAAAAUUACUCAUGUAUCACGGGCCUCUUCAUUUUCCACUGGAAAAUUUUUGCACAUAAGCUUUCCCUGAAUUAUAUUCUAAAUGGAAGAUUUGCAUGGUUUUAAAUGUAUAUAUAUGAACACUAAAUUAUUGUAUGCUUAAAUACUUUUAAUUAUAGGUAGUAAAUAAUAACCAUUUAUACUGAGGUAGCAUGUAAUAUCUCAAAGCACCUCUUCCAGGACAUUAGGUACAAAUAAAUAGUGUCAGUUUAUGUCCCUAAGAGCUGACAGUCCAAAUUACUUACAGCUUUACAGCUUCCACAUGGAUUUCUUGUGGUCUGCUUUUACUGACUCAUGGGAUCUAGAAAACAAAUCAACAGUGAAGUUCUUACUCAUUUUAUUUAGUUGAGUUCUUUGCUGCAGGUUCUGAUCGGAUUAUAGAGGAAGAACUUUCUUUUCACACUUAAAUUAGUUCUCCGAAAAGCCAGAAAAUGAGACUGGAUUUUAUCCCUAUAGAAAUCUACGUAAUUCCAAGUAAUUUAAGGAAUUCAAGCAGAACAGACUGAGAGGCCAAUUGUAAACCAUCUGCACUCUUUAGGGCUUUCUGUAAUCCAACGGAGAAAGUUUUCAGGACUAUAGCAGAACUGAAAAAUGGACUUGCCAAAAGAAAAAACAUUACUGGUAAGUUAGAGUUAAUUUUCCAUAAAAUAGAUGUCAAACCUCAGGCAACAGACCUACAAAGACUUUGCAGAAUCCAAAUAUACCUACUCUGUAGGCAGUACAGGCUGGAACGAGAAGGAAGGAUGUCAUUUGGAAAUUAUGAAGUGGAUGCAGACUUGGUUAGAGUGUGAAGAUACAAGUAGGAGAUCUGGUAAUGAGAAUAGCUCGGUAUCAGUAUCCCACAAGCAGAGUUUAUACAGAAACAUAGCAGUCAAAUUAUGAAGGACAGGUUUGCCUGCAAAAAUUACCAAGUGCUUUGGCUUGGUUUCUAAACUGAUCUUGCUAUCAUGAUACACCUGGAAAUGGCAUUUGACUGAGAUAACAAACAGCUAAACAUGAUAAUGGGGAUCUACAGCAGAUGGCGAAAUACUCAUGUUGCCAUAGAAACCAUGCAGAAAAAGUGUGUAGGAGUAAAGCAUGGCGCAGAAAAGCUUCUAGGAGAAGGGUCUAGAGACUGAGGAACUGAAUUCAUUCAGCAGCUGUUAAGGUUAGUCCAGACAUUAAUAAAAACACAUUAGCUCUUCAGGAAACUGAGAAUCAUGGAGGAAAGGAGUCCUAACGGUGAGCUGCAGAACAGUUGAAGGCAGCAAUGCCAUGUUGUGCCAUAGGGUAGGGCAGAAAAAGUCUGUAGAGAAAGGCUGGAGAUGGCCAUGAGAUGGACGAAAAAGCUGGGAAGCCCUUCAACCACAACCACAGCACGUGCUCCCCUCGUGUCUGCUGAGCACAUGCCGGACCCAGGCUGGUGGUAAGGGGACGCGCUUUCCUAGGCCCCCUCUGCUCUCCCUGCAGCAAGUCCAUAUGUGCUCAGGAGGUGACCCAGUGCCGCUGCUUCGGUACCCGCUCACUUUCCCCACGCAGAGAAGCUGUUGGGUGGUCCCACAGCGCUACAGGGCUGACGCCUCAGUGACGGACUCACAUGUGGCUACAUUUAGUGAAGAAUUCAGGCCCUAGGCAGACAAAUGUGUGUUUUUGAAUUCCCCACACAAAGGGCUUGAGUAGGGGACUAUCUGGAGGAAGCUUCUGUUUCACUUUCUGUUGGGGCGAGUAACAUGGCAGAAAAGAUCCCCUAGAGCUCAGGGAGCAGAGUUACCCAGGGACUGUUGAGGCAAGGCAGAAGGCGAGUCCUCCCACGGUGCAGAAGGACCAGACAGAGGUGACGGGCUACAGCCAUCGUCCUUUGUGCUAGAACAGCUUGCACUCUGCCACAGUGGGUCGUGAGGCAAUACCCUGAGGUCUCUGCCUGCUCACGAGUUGGAGAGAAAAGGGCAAGGAGGUGUCCCUGUGUGACUUGAGCAAGCAGAGGGUUGGCUCUCGGCGAAGACCCAGGACGCACAUCCAGCUGUCAGCAGUAGCUCCAGCAGACUGCCAGAUUAAAACCAUGUGUGCUGGGCAGCUAUGCAAGGGCAGGCAAAGGGAUUGAGACAAAGUGCUGAUUGGUGCUGUGGCUACAGAAAUAUCUCAAACUCUGGUCAUAACAUGGUUAUCUCCUGUUGCUGCUGGUCAGCUGCCUCUCUAGGACAGGCUUUCGUCUGUGUGGGGACUUGGAAGUCCCUGCCAAGACUGGGUGUAAGUAAGUGCUUUAACUGUUCCCAGGUGGUGGGGCUGGGUGGUGGGCAGAACCGUAGUGUCUCGAGGUCUAAAAGAUAAAAGGCAACGUGAGUGUGCUCAUCGCAAUAUGCCGGUGUGGAGAGGGAUGGGGCUGCCAUGGUCUUCGCUCUCGUGUGAUGACUGCAGAGCAGCGUCGCUUCUGCUACUUUUGCAGCCCUGUGGCUGCAUGAUGAGGAUGACAGCUCCAGGCUGUGGCAAGCCUCUGUACACACAGAAGCAUUAAAGAAAAAUAGCCGUACACAGGCAGCAACUCCAGAGAAGCCGCUCCAGAGGCAGAUGCAAAGUCCUUCAGUGCUGUUCUUCACUGAGCUCCCAGGGCACGGUCCUUUCCUCAGAGGGUGCCUCACAAAGGGGAAGCUACUGGGAUUACACUCCCGGCUUCCAGCCAGACCAAGCCUUUGCUGCUGCCCCAAUUUACAUUUCCACGUCUGGAUCGUGUUGGGGUGAUGUAACGCUGGAUCCCGGAGCAUGAUUCAAUGCAAAGUCACACUGAGUGCAACUGGAAAUGGUGCCAAAUGUGAGUGUAAAGGGUGCGAAUGGGUUGUGGACUGGGAAGGAAACUUGAGGCAACAUGAGCUGCUGCCGUCUGUGAGUCUCGUGCUUUCAGCUGGACCUGCAUUACGGCAGGAUACGAUGCGCAGGGAUUGAUAGAGAGGAGCAAGGACAUUAGGAGACAACUGACAGUGACUGAAAAGCCCAAAUGAAAAAAGCUUUUGACUCAUUAAGACUACAGAAGGACUGAUGAAUAACCAUUAAAAGCAAGCACCAGAGAUCCUGCAUGUCAGAGCAGUGUUUCUUGUGCAUGUUAAGUUACAGCAAAGCCACAGACCCAGUAAGUCAGUGAUACCUGUAAUGCUCCAAAAUCAAGGUGUUCUGUCAAAUGAUCGCUACAGUGUAAAAUCCUCUGGAGGCUGAAAUAAUUUGUAUUACAUUUACCUGACCUUACUGGCCAUUUUCACCUACAGUCAGGAGAAUACAGCUGUGCGCUCAGCACGUUGAAGGAGAAAGGCUGUUCUUUUAACCAAAUUUCCUUUCUUGUUCUUGUGUCACAGCAUCUACAGUUUUAGUAGGCAGGUAUCUUUUAUUCUUGGUAAGAAUAGGAAGUUAGUUCAUGUUCAUUAUCUAGAAGAGCCCAGAAAACAUUAAAUGUUUUCCAGACUAUUAAUAAACUCAAGUAUCAGUUGCCUUGAGAAAGAAUGUAACCCUAAGAAACACUGAUUGUACAACUAACAAAUGCAGAUGUGAAGCGCUAUCAACAACGUUA